rnacentral:rRNA from 1 species
GACGAACGCUGGCGGCGUGCUUAACACAUGCAAGUCGAACGAUGAACCCGGAGCUUGCUCCGGUGGAUUAGUGGCGAACGGGUGAGUAACACGUGGGUGAUCUGCCCUGCACCUCGGGAUAAGCCUGGGAAACUGAGUCUAAUACCGGAUAGGACCAUGCGCUUCACGGUGUGUGGUGGAAAGCUUUUGCGGUGUGGGAUGGGCCCGCGGCCUAUCAGCUUGUUGGUGGGGUAAUGGCCUACCAAGGCGACGACGGGUAGCCGGCCUGAGAGGGUGACCGGCCACACUGGGACUGAGAUACGGCCCAGACUCCUACGGGAGGCAGCAGUGGGGAAUAUUGCACAAUGGGCGCAAGCCUGAUGCAGCGACGCCGCGUGAGGGAUGACGGCCUUCGGGUUGUAAACCUCUUUCAGUAGGGACGAAGCGCAAGUGACGGUACCUACAGAAGAAGGACCGGCCAACUACGUGCCAGCCGCCGCAGUAA